rnacentral:rRNA from 1 species
GCUUCUUUUUCCACCGGAGCUUGCUCCACCGGAAAAAGAGGAGUGGCGAACGGGUGAGUAACACGUGGGUAACCUGCCCAUCAGAAGGGGAUAACACUUGGAAACAGGUGCUAAUACCGUAUAACAAUCAAAACCGCAUGGUUUUGAUUUGAAAGGCGCUUUCGGGUGUCGCUGAUGGAUGGACCCGCGGUGCAUUAGCUAGUUGGUGAGGUAACGGCUCACCAAGGCCACGAUGCAUAGCCGACCUGAGAGGGUGAUCGGCCACAUUGGGACUGAGACACGGCCCAAACUCCUACGGGAGGCAGCAGUAGGGAAUCUUCGGCAAUGGACGAAAGUCUGACCGAGCAACGCCGCGUGAGUGAAGAAGGUUUUCGGAUCGUAAAACUCUGUUGUUAGAGAAGAACAAGGAUGAGAGUAACUGUUCAUCCCUUGACGGUAUCUAACCAGAAAGCCACGGCUAACUACGUGCCAGCAGCCGCGGUAAUACGUAGGUGGCAAGCGUUGUCCGGAUUUAUUGGGCGUAAAGCGAGCGCAGGCGGUUUCUUAAGUCUGAUGUGAAAGCCCCCGGCUCAACCGGGGAGGGUCAUUGGAAACUGGGAGACUUGAGUGCAGAAGAGGAGAGUGGAAUUCCAUGUGUAGCGGUGAAAUGCGUAGAUAUAUGGAGGAACACCAGUGGCGAAGGCGGCUCUCUGGUCUGUAACUGACGCUGAGGCUCGAAAGCGUGGGGAGCAAACAGGAUUAGAUACCCUGGUAGUCCACGCCGUAAACGAUGAGUGCUAAGUGUUGGAGGGUUUCCGCCCU